GGCCAGGUAGCUCAGUCGGUAGAGCAACGGACUGAAAAUCCGUGUGUCGACGGUUCGAUUCCGCCCCUGGCCA
rnacentral:tRNA from 1 species